UCCUACGGGAGGCAGCAGUAGGGAAUAUUGCGCAAUGGGGGAAACCCUGACGCAGCAACGCCGCGUGGAGGAUGACACUUUUCGGAGCGUAAACUCCUUUUCUUAGGGAAGAAUUCUGACGGUACCUAAGGAAUAAGCACCGGCUAACUCCGUGCCAGCAGCCGCGGUAAUACGGAGGGUGCAAGCGUUACUCGGAAUCACUGGGCGUAAAGGGCGCGUAGGCGGAUUAUCAAGUCUCUUGUGAAAUCUAAUGGCUUAACCAUUAAACUGCUUGGGAAACUGAUAGUCUAGAGUGAGGGAGAGGCAGAUGGAAUUGGUGGUGUAGGGGUAAAAUCCGUAGAUAUCACCAAGAAUACCCAUUGCGAAGGCGAUCUGCUGGAACUCAACUGACGCUAAGGCGCGAAAGCGUGGGGAGCAAACAGGAUUAGAUACCCUGGUAGUCCACGCCCUAAACGUUGUACACUAGUUGUUGGGGUGCUAGUCAUCUCAGUAAUGCAGCUAACGCAUUAAGUGUACCGCCUGGGGAGUACGGUCGCAAGAUUAAAACUCAAAGGAAUAGACGGGGACCCGCACAAGCGGUGGAGCAUGUGGUUUAAUUCGAAGAUACGCGAAGAACCUUACCUGGGCUUGAUAUCCUAAGAACCUUUUAGAGAUAAGAGGGUGCUAGCUUGCUAGAACUUAGAGACAGGUGCUGCACGGCUGUCGUCAGCUCGUGUCGUGAGAUGUUGGGUUAAGUCCCGCAACGAGCGCAACCCACGUAUUUAGUUGCUAACGGUUCGGCCGAGCACUCUAAAUAGACUGCCUUCGUAAGGAGGAGGAAGGUGUGGACGACGUCAAGUCAUCAUGGCCCUUAUGCCCAGGGCGACACACGUGCUACAAUGGCAUAUACAAUGAGACGCAAUACCGCGAGGUGGAGCAAAUCUAUAAAAUAUGUCCCAGUUCGGAUUGUUCUCUGCAACUCGAGAGCAUGAAGCCGGAAUCGCUAGUAAUCGUAGAUCAGCCAUGCUACGGUGAAUACGUUCCCGGGUCUUGUACUCACCGCCCGUCACACCAUGGGAGUUGAUUUCACUCGAAGCCGGAAUACUAAACUAGUUACCGUCCACAG
rnacentral:rRNA from 1 species